AUGUGCUGGUACCGGCAGGACUCAGGGCUGGGGCUGCAGCUGAUCUACUACUUCCAAGAUGUUGCACUGCUUGCACCCGGGGACAUGGCAAGGGCUACCAUGAUUCCUGCCCUGAGCUGGAAGCUGGCCCAGUCCUGCUCCAACUUUACCAUGGGCCCUGGCCCAGUAUGGUUGUUGGUCGUUUGUGUCCUGGGAGCAGGCCCUGUGAAUGCCAGAGUCACCCAGAUCCCCAGACACCUGGUCAUCGGGCAGCGACAGAACGUGAGACUGAGCUGUGAGCAUGACCAGAGCCAUGAUUAUAUGUACUGGUAUCGGCAGGACCUGGGGCAGGGACCAUACCUCAUGUUUUACUUGACAUUUCGGGCUAUUUCGGAAAAUGUGACAGUCCCACCCCGCUUCCAACCUCACUGUUCGAGCUCCGGUGACUGCACCCUGGACAUCAGCGCCGCAGAGCUGGGCGACUCCUCGGUGUUCCUGUGUGCCAGCAGCCUGGGCAAACAAUCCAGCUGCCUUCCCCUCUACUCCCUCCACCGUAACCUGAGGCUAGAGCACAUACCUGCCACAAAAGUGCAGGCACUGCAGUCAUGA